GAUCCCUGGCUCAGGACGAACGCUGGCGGCGUGCCUAAUACAUGCAAGUCGAGCGAAUCUUGAGGUGCUUGCACCUCUUGGUUAGCGGCGGACGGGUGAGUAACACGUGGGCAACCUGCCUGUAAGACUGGGAUAACACCGGGAAACCGGUGCUAAUACCGGAUAAUCCUUUUCCUCUCAUGAGGAAAAGCUGAAAGUCGGUUUACGCUGACACUUACAGAUGGGCCCGCGGCGCAUUAGCUAGUUGGUGAGGUAACGGCUCACCAAGGCGACGAUGCGUAGCCGGACCUGAGAGGGUGAUCGGCCACACUGGGACUGAGACACGGCCCAGACUCCUACGGGAGGCAGCAGUAGGGAAUCUUCCGCAAUGGACGAAAGUCUGACGGAGCAACGCCGCGUGAGCGAUGAAGGCCUUCGGGUCGUAAAGCUCUGUUGUUAGGGAAGAACAAGUACCGGAGUAACUGCCGGUACCUUGACGGUACCUAACCAGAAAGCCACGGC
rnacentral:rRNA from 1 species